rnacentral:rRNA from 1 species
UACAGAGGGGGCAAGCGUUGUUCGGAAUUACUGGGCGUAAAGGGCGCGUAGGUGGUUCGUGUAUGUCUAUCGUGAAAGCGUACGGCUCAACCGUAUUUUUGUCGGUAGAAACUGCAGGACUUGAGGCUGGGAGGGGCUGGUGGAAUUCCCUGUGUAGCGGUGAAAUGCGUAGAGAUGGGGAGAACACUCGUGGCGAAGGCGGCCAGCUAGACCAGUUCUGACACUGAGGCGCGACAGCGUGGGGAGCAAACAGG